UUCUAUUUAACGGUCCGUAAUUAUAGUAAAAUAAAAAUAAAAGUAUCACUACAACAAAAUUAGAUUAUAGAGACACAUGUUUAGAACAUUUUUGUAUAAGUGUCCUAUUAUGCCAAAAGUUUUUAAAAUAUCUACUAAUACCUAAAUAUAAAGUCCAAUCCAGCCAAAAAUAAAAGGUUGUUCUACUCAACCCACCCCACCCAGCUCAUUCGGGUUCUAGUCAACCCACCCCACCCAGCUCAUUCGGCUCGAUUACAAACAGAAAAGAAAAAAAAAAAAAUCGAUUGCCAUCGCUCCUUCUCCCUUCACUCAAUUCACUGAAAUCCUGGACGAAGAGGCUUUUCCUUUCGUCCUCCUCCGUCAUUGCAACUAACAAGGUAGAGUUCCGGUGGUUGCUAAAUGCUUAAAUAAGUAUGGAUAAAUUAGCAGCACUUUUUUUAGAUUAUAGCGACACUCUGUAACUGUCACUAUAUAACUAGCGACACCACAUAUGACAACACUUUUUAAAAGUAUCGAUAAUUUAGUCAGUAUUUUUUUUUUUUAUCGCUAUAGAUCAUUUUUGUUUGAGUGUAUAGAAUAGUUAAAUGCAACUUUCUAAAAUAUAGAAUUGUAAAGUGAAUAUACGAUAAACCUCAAGGGAAAAAUUGAAGUUCAUCUUUGUCUAAACGUCGUUUUACUAUUACUAUAAAAUGAUUUUAUUACUUGGGGCAAUUGCCUAUAUACCUCUGAAAAGUUUUCGAUUUUCUUAUUUAUCCCUCUUAAUUAGAAGGCUAAUAUUGAAAAUACCCUUCUUAUGUUCCAAGUCUUUCUAAUAUAUCCCUGGAGUUAAGUUCCGUCAGUUAGCUGCUAUUAUCUCUGAAAAAUUACCAUUUUGCCCAUUCCAAUAUACCCUCGUACCGUAACUCACUUAUCUUAUAUACCCUUCAUAUAACAAAUAUUUUUUUUAUUUGCCCUUCAAAUAUCAAUUAAUUAAUUAAGCACGUUGGGAGUGAGCAGAUGAACGGAUGAGAUCGAUCGCAGCUAAACCAAUCUUAGUGGCUGGAGGCAUAGUUAGUUAAUUUGGAUUCAGCAAAAAUUCGGUACAGAUAUAAUUCGGAUAAAAUUCGUCUUUUAAUUUUUAAAUUCGUUGAAAAAUACGGCUAAAAACGGAUUUGACAGUUAUUCGAAUACGUAAUAUAUACGGGUAUUAUACGUUCACCAAUUAAAAAUUCCGGAUCAAAAAGUCGACUAUAUAAUAAAUAUAUAAUAAUUAAUAUACUAUAUAUAUUAUUAUUAUAAUUUUUAUAUAUAUA
rnacentral:lncRNA from 1 species